UGAAGCAAGCAAAAUUCUACACCUCUUUAUUCAGACACUUUGACACAUUGCAGUUUACUCUGUAGCCUGCUUAGACUUUCUCUUUUUCCCUGGCUGCCAUGCAUCCAGUUUCUGCUCCUACCUCUCAUCGUAGCUUGGGGGCUUGAUACGCUCUGAUUGGUUGUUUUGCCAAUGCUUCAGGAUGUGGAUUCUGGCUUCGUGAUGGCUUCUGUGAUGAAGAUGGAUCUGCAUAUGCUGAUUUCUUUGAACAGUACAGUUGACAUGCAGUGAAAAUAUAAGUUCUGUAUUUAUUUCUGUGAAAAGAAAGCUCUGCUAUUGAAGCAUUAUCAGAUUAAACACUGAAGCUAAAAGUGUGCUGCGGCUGCUGCUGUAAGGUUGAUAAAACAGGUUUGUGCUGGAGCUUGAGGAAGCGAAGGAGAAGAUGUCAAAGGAGAACGAGCGAUUUGAGCUCCAUCGGAGAGAGAAUGAGGCCAGAGAAGAGAUGGAGGCUCUGCUAAAGGAAAGGGAUGAAAUGUGUAGAAGAGUUUAGGUUGAUAAAGACAGCUUGAUGCUCCAGCUUGAGGAAGAGAGAAGGAACACGGAGAAGGAGAUAGAGCGGUUUGACAAAAGGUAGAAGAUCACUGAAGGCAGCUUGAGGAAACGCUGUGAGGUAUAUGACAAAAGAGGUUUGUGACCUGACAAAAACUGUGGAAGAACUUAAGCAGCUAGAGACCGUAAAGCCAGUGAAGCUCAGUCAAAAGAAGUGAUCAACAUUCUGGUGAAGGAAAGGGUUAAAAUAAAGAGACAGUUGGAGCUUGAACAGGUAAUCAACAUCUUGGACGGAGUUGCUUACAGUUCUUUGUACGCAAGGAAAAAGAGAUGGGAGCUGAUGAAGAGCAAGGAGAGAGAAGUUCAGUCAACAGAAGUGACCAAUGCUUUGGUGAAGAAAAGUGAGAAAAUGAAGAAAAAGCUUCAUGAAAAAAAGAAGAAUGUGCUGGAGCUUGAGAAAGAAAGGAAGAACACAGAGAAGGAGAAAAAUCAAGAGAGAGUUGAGCUGAAGAUUCGAGAGAUAAAGAGUUUCUUUUGGAAAAAAAUUAAUGAACUGAAAACGUUUCAGUCUGAAAAGGGGAUCAAAAGAUUCCAGAGAUGGCGAAGCAGAAGAUUCCAGGGAUGGCCACCAUGCAGGAGAUGACAGAAGAGCUGGAGGCCUCAGAAUCGAAAAACAAAGCAGGUGAGAAGGAGGUACUCGAGACAGCCGAUAAGAAGCUGAAGCGCCUUUCCAUACCGUGGUUCCGACUCUCAUAGAACACCAAAGAAAAAAAAGAACAUCAACCAAAAAUAUACAAUGGUAUCUUUCUUUAACGUAAAUGCCACUUGGCUCAACAUGUUUAUUAAGGAGUUUAUUUAUAUAUAAGUGUAGAUGAAGAGUCCCAGUGUUUCUUGGGGUCACUGUAUAGAAAAAAAUUUAUAAUUAAGUGUAAUCAUAUAUAGAUAGGGCUGCACAAUACAGCUGAAAGGUUUAUCAUCGAUAUAAUGUCAUAUUAUUUGAAAUCAACAAUUAAUUCAUGUACCCACGGAUGGUCAAGUAGUAAUCAAAUUGAUUUUUCAAUUUUUUUGUAUUUUAUCUUAUAACCACUGAAGCUUCAUUUCUACACAGUCCACAUACUGUAUAAACCUAACCCUAAAAUGAAUUAAUGAAUGCUGACUACACCUGGAUUACCAGAGUUGUAAACCUAUAGUUACUUAUUGAAGGUAUAUAAAAUUAGAUUAGAUUAGAUAAUAUUAGAUUCAACUUUAUUGUCAUUACACAUGUACAAGUACAAGGCAACGAAAUGCAGUUUAGGUCUAACCAGAGUGCAAUAACAGCAAGUGCAUGAUAUACAGUUUUUACAAGAAUUAAAUGAGUUAAAUAAAGUGGUAAUAUAGAAGUAAUUUACAGAUGUGUGAGUACUAUGAACAUAAUAUACAGAUGGCUAUAAUUAUAACUGAAAUUUAAAGAAGGA